AAUCAUCAGGAUCUUGCAAACACCUAACAAAAGAUGAGAGUGACAUGUCUUAGGUAAAUUCAUGUGUGUCCAGUGACCCUGCUCUGCCUUUCGUUUGACUGUGUCGCAAACAGUGCCGUUAAAAUCACCAGGUGCUGUUAAGAGACUCAGAACCCACAGUGCCUCAGGCACUAGGCUGAACAAUGAGAGGUGCCAAGCAAAAAGUGGGGAUUAAUCCAUCAACAAACAAAUUAUUACGUCUUCCAUACUUAGGGUCACAAGUUAUUCGAGGUCUGCAUCAUAGCACAAAUUGCACUGGUGCAAAGAUCUUAACCUAGACAAAUCUUUUCUGAGGCAAUGCCUAAGAGGAGGAGCACCUCAUCUCAGGUGCUUAACCUAAAUGAAGAAACCUUGCCUGAGAUGAGGUGAGUAGCAGGGGCUUUGCCUCGCUUUGCUAGAACGCCCAGGUGAGUGCCUCGAGUGUCAGCUAACACUCAGCCAUUGCCUAUCCCAAUUAUUUACAAAACCCACAAGACAGAACAAGGCCUAUCCCAGCCAUUACUAUUUUCAUCUAAUGUUGAGACUGACUCCAUUAUUAUAUGUGCAAGCUUGAACUGAGAACUGAAGGCCUGGGUCUAGGCAGGUUAUGCACGGUUUAACUUAAGGCUUACUUUUAGGGAUCAAGCUCAGCCGCAGAGCAGAUCUAUUUCUAGAAGCAUAGUUUGACUGAUAUCGCACAACACAACUAUACAUACCUGUCGGUGCAAACCAAAAACAAGGAGACAUCUUUAGAUGGAGAAGCAGCAAACUUUUCAUAUUUACCUGCCACAACUCUUGUGAAACAGGAGCAUGAAAAGGUAGAACUCGUGUAUCAGCUCCUUUUCUGUCAAUGCGCUUCAAUGCAUUUUCAACUUUUCAACAUGUCUCAAUCUGUAUAUGGAGAAGAGGACAAAGUAAUGAUGAGUCCUCCAUUCGGGUGGCUUCAGAACCUUCUCUCAAACUCCAGGUCAGGAGUCGGUGAGAUGGUCGGGAGAGUGAAGGAAAUGUAAUGAUGAGUCAAUUCCAAGCAGCCUUUACUGAAAGCUCAACAUACCCUGUUACAGAAAAUUGUUUUGGUUACUGGGCUUUCUUCUGCAAGCUGAAUAAAAGCAGACUUCUUAUUCAGGAAUGCAGUAUCUGGAGUCUUUUCACUGUCUUCCUCUCCACUACAAUCUAUGAGAAACUGGGCAUGAUAUGUAACUCCUAAAUUCUCCCCUGUUAGAAUGGUAUUCCGUUAGUUUCUUCUUAACAGGAAAAUAAGAGGAAAAGCAUUGGUUAGCUACCACAGCAAAUUUAUGCAACAUGUUCAUCAAGGGGAAGGACAAAGCAAAUUGAUGUAACAGAAGAUUACUGUUCAACCUGCAUGAGAAAGCUCCUAGCCUAUCUAGGAUUACUGUUGUGAAAAUAAUCCUUCCCCAGUAUAUGCAACCUAAAUUAGAUUGUACGAUACCUCUAUACAAAGUUAAAUUCUGAGAAUCAAUGAACUGGCAAAAUGAAUAGAAACAAUACUAAGGACAACUGCAAAAACUCUUCUGCAAAUUGAGGAAAGAAGAGAAACAGAUAUCCUCAAUCAUCUCAGCACAAUCGAUAAUAGGACCCUAACAUAAUCCUCAAUCAUCUCAGCACAAUCAAAGAAAGAGACUUCUCCUGAUUUUAUUUCUCUUCACCUCCAAGCAGAUUAAAUGACUUACAGAAUGCUGGUGGCACCUUUAGAUGGUAUAGACUGCUUUUGGCCAAAAGAAUACUAUAGACUACUAAUACGCAUGUGCUAAGAGACAUUCAAGGAAAAAAAUUUAUUCCACUCUUCAUCCACUUUCCAUCUUCCCCCAUCAAUAUGCGGAAACAAUCCACCCCCAAAACCAAAGCAUCAACGUAAAACCAUGCUCCAUCACUUUUAGGGAGCAUAACCAACAGCUUAGUAUGAGUAAUAAAUUGUCCAAAAGCAUCCAAAAAAAUGUACAGACACGGAUGUGAAUCCUUUUGUGCCUAAAUUACAUAAUAGUAAUGUAUCCAUUGGCAAAUAAUGGAAAGGGGAAUAAUACAGCUUUAGACCAACCUUUUUGAGGUGAGGGCUUGUCCGAUGAAUGCCAGGUCUCAUGAUCACUUCACAGUUGGGAGGAAUUUCAACUAUUUUGUUAUAUAUAUCUACUGGCAAUGUGGCUGUCCCAAACAGAUACUGGGUGGCUACAGGUGAAGAAUUGAUUAUGCUUUGAAACGCUGCUUCAAACUCCUCAUCAUUGCAGAGUAUAUAUCCACCUCAUCCAAAAUCACGCUGCAUUGAAAAGCCAUAAAUUAUAGCAGUAGUUGCAAAACAAUCUGCAACGUGUAUAAAGAUACCAUUCUUAUAGAGCUCUUUGUUUGUAGCUUAGCAUGGACUCAAAUCUGCUAAAUGCCAAAAUCAUCCAGACUUUGAUGUCAUUCAAAUUCUUAGCAGGCAAAUCCAUUAUCAAAAGAUUUUUUAACUUCAUAUCCUAUAUCAAACAAUAGGACGAGUGGAGCUUUCUAAAUCUGUCAAUCGUCACCAGUCAUUUCUUGAGGAAAUCUAUCAGGGCUAACAAAUAGCAAUAUAUAUAGCAAUUUUGUAAAUCAAAGCAAAGGUCUCCAUAACUCAAGCCAGAAAAUCAAGAUUCAGCUAUGUAUAUGUAAGAAUAGAAAUUUUAUCAAUCUUUUCCUUUCCUCGAAGAAUGGUGAUGAAUCAUGGUGGCAGUACUAAAUCUAGAAUACAGUAGCACAAUCACAUUCGUUACUCAAAAACAGAUGAGAAGACAAUAAUUUUGAAUAGCUCACGCACCCAAACUUAUUUGUGCAACAUUAUACAGUGCAUAGGCUUACCAUCCAAGAUCUUUCGACUCCAAAAAGCCCUCUUUAAUGAGAAAAAUAAAGCGACUGGGUGUGGCUAUUAGGCAUCAAGACCUUCUAUAUUUUCCGGCUGAGUUUUUUUCCUGAAACCGCCCAUGGCAACCAUAGACCAGAAUGGAGCCCCAAACUUCGAUAUGGAUUGGCAGUUACUCAAAACCUGCAUAAAAUUUACUAUAGAUAUUAAGUAUCCUUAUGUGGGUCCAAAAAUUUAUGUUAGGUUUGUCAUCCACUACUAGCAAAAACAAGCAUUGCUAUACAUAAAACCAACUACAGAGUAUCUCCAAAUUCAGAACGCAUCCAUUUUCAACAGCUCUAAGGAGAUUACCAGUUUUGCCACAUGAGUGGAUUAUGCGCAUCUUUAAGCAACUGUGUGCCACUCAAAUUGUACAUUUGUCUUUCCAGAAACCCAGUACAAUCUAGAAAUCUCUUCUUUUUUAUUAUUUGAAAGAAGAGAUGACAUUUUGAGUAAAAUAGAUGACAAGUUGUCAAAAACACACUGACUGCCACCAAAAAUGAAUUGGAGUGCUUUUUUCAUCACAAAUUGGCUGCUUAAGCAAUAGCCUAUCAUAGUAUAAGAUGAGAGCUUAAAAUGGCCAUAAACUAGUAAAAGUCGGUGACUUGCUUGCCAAAGCACAUAAGGGCAAAAGAAAAGGCACAAGAAAGGAUACUAACUGCCAACCUGUGAAGCUAACUCAACAGCUAGCACCAAAAUGACAACUCGAGGGCUUCGUGAGAAUGAUUUGCUAAGUCCUUGCAGCUCUUCUUGCCUGAGACGUUGGACUACUGGUGCAAGAUAAGCAAGCGUUUUUCCUGAACCACUCUGAUCAGCUAUAUUACAAGUGUUUCCCUCAAUUACAGGUUUGAAUGCAAUCGCCGGCAGUCAUCAAUAGUUAGCAUCAAUCUGAGUUGCAGUACAUAAGGAGAAGUUCUUCCUUUUGUCAAAGAAUAGAUAGAACAUCUCAAUGCAAUUACUUAUCAAUACUUAUGCCAUUGAAAAGACAAAAACUGACGCUAUAGGUUGGCCCCUCAAUGACUUCCACAUCCAUCAGCUCCAAUUUCACAUUUACAGAUAAAAUAUGAAUGAUGACGAAUGCAAGCUUACAUCUAGAACUAUACAAAAACAAGGUCAUCAUUGAUUUGAAGCUCAAUGUGGAUAUUAUGAAGAUAGUAGAUAUAACGAUGAUUAGAAUGUGCUCACGUUUAUUACAUUGCCAGCUAAAACAGCAGUAAGGAAGCAAUGACCAAGUUCCUUCCAUUUUCCCAGCAGAAAAAGCAACAAGCUGAAACCUUUGACUUUGAGUAGGUCAUACUAUUGAUGUACCUGAAUAUGUGAGGGGCACAGAAAAUGCUGCUUCCUCAAAGAUUCAAUCAUAUAGUCACUACAACCCAAAUCUUCAAAGGACUUUCGACCAUGGAAGUCACUAUUGGAGGAAACUUUCCCUAUGCAAACUUAGAUCUUUCGAGUCAGAUCUAAAGUCAUCCAUGGACACACCCCCUGCCCCAUCCUCUGAAAUCUGCAUAAAAACUACGGACUGAAUGCUCUGUUCCAACUAUUCUGGUGGUAGAUAUGCCAUGUUUAUUGGGUUCCUUUCAGUGCACUGAACAAUCCAUAUCUUUUAUGUCCAUCCUUGCUGCAGCGUCUUUGGCAGCUUUGGAUUGGUGAGCACCUGAAUCCUUUCCUCCACGUCAAAGGAUAGCUGCUUCCUUCUGUUUCCCCAGUAGGUCCAAUUUAGAAAAAGAGAGAUCAGGCAUAUCAAGAGGUACACUUUCUACUACCGGUUCAUAAUCUUUGCGACUCGCUUGUUUUAGCUUGGAAGAUUUUUCAGCAAGAGAUUUGACUCUCAGCAAUUUCAGUCGUCCAAAACCUCUGCCUAGACCACUCACACUUGCUGUAGGAGAAUAUCAUCUUUCGGCAGGGUUGACCCAUGAUGAUUGCCUGUAUAAAAGAAAAAGAAGUGACUGUCAGACUACAUUUUAUCGCUGGAAAAACCAAAUUCAUCUCCAAGCUCUGACUUUACACAUUGCACAGAAGGAUUCAGUACGCUACAAGAAAGUCUUAGCACAGAUUGAAAUGGGAGAGAAAUUUCUAACUCUGUUUGCAUACAUUCGUUUUCAAGCCAACCUAAGAAAACCAAAAAUCAUUUACCCAAGACUGUAUGAUUCAGAUAAGCUCCGAAAGAAAAUCUAAUGUUGGAUUUGUUAUCCUCCAUCUGAAUACAAUGCAUAUAACAAAUCACUGGCAUCGUUACAAGAGCUUAGAUACCAAUUAUCAACAAUGCAAGCACAAAAAAGAAAGAAAAGCUCCAACAAAUAAGAAAGGAAUUCGUAAUCAGAACCGACUGCAUCAGUCAUUCCGACUUGCACAUUCACAUCAAACACGUCUACACUCAAAUGCAAACUACGCAAGUUAACAGCUCAAUUACAGAGAUAAAUCCAAUCCUACCAUCUCGUCGUCAAUCGGCUGGUAGGCCCCCGCCCGAGUCUCCGAGGGCCAAGGCUCAGACAUAAGAAAUACCAAAUCUCUUCCAUGUAGAAUAUUCGAAUCCGAAUCCCUUUUCUCAAGUAAUUGACUUGGAGGAGUCAUUACCCAAUGUGACUUUCGGGAUUUCGUAGAUGAGGGGCCAAUAGCAGCCGGUCCCUUUCCUGCAUCGCUUCUCCAGAAUCCCACAUCCUGAGAUCCAGAGUAGUUCUAGGGAGGGAGGGAGGCGAUCCUGGGGUAACUCCCUCAGCUUCGGGCAAUUCUGGAUGUACAAGGACCGGAGAGAGGGAGGGAGACUGGUGAACAGUCUUUCCACGUUCUUCAUGCCACAGAUAUAGAGAGAGGUCAGAGAGGAAGGGAGCGGAAGCACAAGUUCCUCCUCCUCUCCCACUCCUCCCACGCUGCCAUCCAUGAUCAGAUCUUGAAGGGAGGUGAGGGGGGUAAGCCACUCCCUCAUCGGCUGCUUCAUAUUCUCGCAUCUAGACACCUGAAGGAACUCUAGCUGGGGCGGCAAUCCUCCAUCGGGGAAGCGCGUAAUACUCUCACACCCAUUAAUUACCAGAUGUCGGAGACUUGUGAGUAGAUGCAACUUAUUAGGUAACGAUUUUAUCUUUGGACAAUCCCCAAGCCAAAAAGCCGAGAUGCUGGGAGGAAGAGGAGGGAAGCACUCCAGCUCUAGUGCAGGACACUCCCACAAAAACAAGAAAGUGAGAUGGGACAAUGUGUGCAGCCCCUGUGGUAAGCUUCUCAAAUUCGUACAAGAUAUAAUUUUAAUCUCUUUAAGCGACUGAAGACGGUCCACAAGUAUCUCCGCAAGUGACUCCACUCCCCCACACGACUCAAUUUCAAGUGUCUUGAGGGUUGCUGGUAAAAAUCUAUUCUCGCUGAAUAAAGAGGCCGAUAGAGAAUCGCAUCAGUACAUUUUUAAAUUUUGCAAACGAAACGUCAUAUCACUGUGGUUAUUGCUACUUGGUUCAUCCAUAUGAACACUUGAUCCUCCGGGUAAAGAUAGCAACAUCUUGCAAUAUCGGAUAUUUAAUGAUAUCACUGACGCCAAUAUACCUGUUUUGGGGAAGGACGGGAGUUUUGGACACUCCUCGAUGGUCAAGUCUUGAAGCGAGGAGAGGGUAUAAAUCAUGCUUGGGUGCUUCUCCAAAUUGAUGCAAUUUCGUGAGUCCAUAAUUUCCAGCUUGCUACGCAACUCUAUAUCUCCUUCUCCAACUGAAAAUGAUAUAAAUUCAGGACAACUUUUGACAACUAAGCUCUUCAGACAAGCCAAAUUCCGAAUUAUAUCUCUCUCUUGCCAUAAAUACAUCAAAUUUUUACAACUUAUCAUCUCCAACUUCUCCAACUUGACCAAGGAGUUUGUAAACCCAUAAUUUAAGCAAGUUAAUUCAAGUACAUCUUGCAUGACAAGAGAAGUUAGAGAUGUCAAGUUUACCAAACUCUUCAGCACGCCCUCAUUACAAUCUCUAAAGUUUAAUUCAUUGAGGGAUGGAAGGCUAAUGAUAGAGGACAAGGCAUCUAUAAGCGGACAAGAGUUGAUUUCCAGCUUUUUGAGAGAGCUCAACUGACUAGGCAAUCUUCCGAUCAAUAUAGGACAAUCCCGAAUGACCAGAUGCUCAAGACAAGGGAAUAAAACUCUUACUUCUUCAUCGUCGAAGCAAUAAGACCAGUCCUCCCACGAUGGCAUGUCCUUGAAUUCUAAAGUCAUUAAGGAUGGAAAAGGACUUUUAGUUCCAUAAAAUUCAGACCCUACUGUGUGUAUUGCAUUUAGACCUUCGAUGUACAAUUCUUUUAGAGAAGAUAGCUGUCCCAAUGAGGCUAGCGCAUUGGCCCGACAACACCCAUGUAAACGUAAAUGCACAAUCUUAACAUAUGAGGGACUUCCUAACCAUGAUGGAAAUUCUAAGCUACCAUAGUAGGAUAUUGUGAGAUUUUCAAGUUUUGGGUGAGGGCGAAGAAAGUCAAGGACUUUUGCUUCAAGCUCUUCAUUCCGGAAAUUUCCAAAAUCUUCGCACCAUUGCAUGGUCAACCGGCAUAUUCCCUCCUUCAUGCAUAAAUCGGCAUCUGUGGCAUCCCCGGCUUCUGGAAUCUUAUGCAAAUUAGAGAUGCAUAAUUCCCCUCCAAGAUUCUUUAGGUUUUUCAACUCCUUCAAUCUUGACCCUAUUUCCAUUCCCACUACAAAUUUGGACAGUAUCUCAAGACCCACCAAAUUACCUAUAUAUAGCGGCAUCGCUUUUAGGCUCGAAGUAUCGGUCAAGUCAAGAAAUUUUAGAUUCAUCAAUUUCUCCAUACCUUCCGGUAAUUCUAUAGGGUUUCGACAUCCUCGCAACAUCAAACUCUCUAGGUAGUACAAUGCAACAAUUGACUUUGGAAGCUUUUCGAUGUUAGAAUUCGACAAAUUGAGGUACCUUAGGUGUUUCAGUUUGCCAAUGCAAUCUGGUACCUCUCUAAUGUGAUAGUGACAUAAUGAAAGCACCCUCAAAAACUUCAAUUCGGAUAACAAGUCACAUAACACUUUCUUGGACAAAUGUGACUUAUCAUAAUACUUAGGUUGCUUCACUAAUGAUAUAAAGCUCCUAAGUCCCUUCAUUCCGUGAUAUAUCUUGAAUCUUUCUUGGACAAUGUGUGGGCUAGAAAUGAAUGAGGCAUGACGAGCCAAAAAUGCAUUAUUUUGAUCACCCUCGAAGUCAAAUGCCCCCGAGCUAAAAUAGGCUACACCAGCAACUAGCUUUGCAAGGUCACUCACAAGAUCAUGCAUCAAGAAUCGUGAUUCACUACUACUCAACUCUUGAAGUAAUGUUCUAGAUACUAACUCGUUAAAAAGUGUCAAACCUACAUUCCAAUGGCUUUCUCCUUCUUUUCUCUCCAACAAGCCCUCUGCAAUCCACCAGUGAAUCAACUCAUCUCGUUCAAUUUCAUAGUCGUUGGGAAAUAUAGCGCAGUAAGCAAAACAUCUCCUCAUAUUUGAAGGGAGAUGGAGGUAGCUAAGUUUCAAAGCCGGAAGGAUGUCAUUACUUUCUUGUGGGAGGUCCCAAAUUUUGCUAUUCAAUAUACCUUGCCACUCACGAGGACUAACUUUAAAGCUUAGUAGCCCAGCCAAAGUCUUCACAGCUAAUGGCAACCCUUGGCAUUUAUCCACUAUUUUCAUGCCUAAUACUUCAAGAUCAGGAUGAUGAUCGAAAUUUCUUGCUCCAAGAGCAUGAAAUGUGAACAAAGUCAUACAAGCAUCUUGUGACAACGGUUUGAGAGUAUAGGGUUGAGCACGGGCUAUUUCAGCAAUGCGGAAAUUACGAGUCGUGACAAUGAUCUUGCUUCCCUUUGCUCCCCAUUGAAAAGGCUUCAAGAGGAUAGUCCAGUUUCCAUAAUUCUCGUUCCAAACAUCAUCUAAAACAACAAGAAACUUCUUCCUUGCAAGGUGUUCCUUGAGCUUAUCUUGAAGCCAAUCCAGGUCCUUACCUUCACAAGACAAAUGGCCAGUGGUUGUCUCAAGGAUCUUCUUUGUAAUAGCAAGCACGUCGAAAUCAUCAGAAACGCAAGCCCAUGCUUUCACAUCGAAAUAGUCGGUGACUCUAUCAUCAUUGUAGACGUGCUGAGCCAGAGCCGUCUUCCCAAGACCCCCCAUCCCUACGAUGGGAAUCACUUUUGGAUCCACACAUGCCCUAUCAUUUUCUUCUUUGGUCAGUAAUUCAAGGAUCUCCUUUUUUUCGACCUCCCUGCUAACAAAACAAGGCUCAGGCAAAUUUGUAGUGUGAAGUGGCUUAUCCACUUGACGGUAUGCUGAUCGCUUCUCGUUAUUCUCUCUCAGGUGCAGAAUAUCUUUAUGAGUAAUGAUAUCCUUUAACCUGCUAUCCAUCUCUUCCAUCUUGGAUCUCAUUGUAUGGUCAAACAUAAAUGCUCUCGGGCUCAAUCUCAAGCAACAACUUUGAAGAAGGGAACGCACCUUGCUAGUGCCGGGUUUUGCCUCGGCGUUAUUUUCCACGGACUCUAUGGCAAACUUGUCUAGCAAGUCUUCAAUGUCGUAGGCCAAGUCCCUAAGAUUUUUGAGCCAUGAGUUCACCCCGAGAUCACCAUUCAGUUGCCUAUCCUCCGCAUCAUCCAACACUUGGUUGAUGGUGACCAGCAUCUCCUCCCAUUUUUUCAGCAGUAUAUCGAUACCCUUGCGCCGUGCAAAGUUGAGAAGCUCACGAGAGGCCAGCCUAUCAAACAGCACUUGAAGAAAGGCGCCAAGAAAGACCUCUGCGAUCGGCAUGGCUUGGUUCGCGAGCGACAGAGGAUUAAACGAGAGUGCCCGGAAGGGUCGAAACAAAGUGCAGAGGGCCGAGAGGAAACAAAAGUUCUUCCGUCCAGGACAAUAGGAUGAAAUGAUGGUGUGAAUCAAAGACUUUUUAAGCACUAAAGCGCUCUUUCUUUCUCGGAAGAAGCUGCCGUUGCAUUUCAUCUCGUCCUCAGUUGAUUUCAUUUCAUUUCUGUAGACUCAAUUUCUCGGAAGCAAAUUGGUCGGACGUGGGACCAAGUCUUGGCAUCAUCAGAGCCUCCAAAAGCUCAGAAGGUAAAAGAAGUGGAGCCCAUCUCCUGCCCAACCCCGGAACUUUUCUGCUCUAUUAUUGAUCGUCAGUUCUAUCUUCCCACUCACAUCACAUGAUUCCCAAUUGCACCCAUCCACCAUCUUCAUGCAUCACAUAGAUCAUGGCAUAACAGUUUCGUUGAUGCAGCCUUAUGAACCCCAUCACUUUAUAAAAAAGGAGAAGUUAUGACAUAAUUUUACUUUAUGUAGACCGGAUACUAUCGUAACCAUUGAGCAUACGGAUCUCAAUAUUAUUUCACGCCAUACGAGAGUUCAAUGCUUUGAAAACUCCAAAAUUAUGUGGUUGAUUGCUCAACAAGUAUCGAGAAAUACUUGUAAAAAAAUCGUACUUUAAUAAGGAUCAGAAAGGAAAAAAAAAGUGUUACUUUUAUUCAUUACUAUAACUGUUACCUAGAUUUGCUAUCUGAAAGAUACAGGAGGAAAAUCAAGCGGCCCUACAUCGAAUUUAAUUGUGGAACCGCCAAGCAACAAUGAUUAGAUUCAUAAAGAAACUUUCUUGUUUUAUUCGGUUCGCGGGAUCAGACAAAAUAUGCUUGUUGUUUUGUCCCAUGAAGAGUAGGGGUGAGCAGCAGUCUAGGGUCGACCUUGGACCUACCCUGGACCGGCCCAACCCUGCCGGUCCUGGUCCGGUUCUCAAGGGGACUGGGUCGGUCCUUGGUCCUAAAAUUCCAGGACCAACACUGUGCGGGUUGGUCCUCGGUCCUAAGAGUUUUGGGUCGGUCCAACCCUGGAUCAACCCUGUAUAUUAUAUUAUAUUAUAUUAAUAAUUCUUUUAUAUAUUCAAACCUAAGUAAAAUGUUUGUUAUAUUAUAUUAUAUUGAAAUGUUCUAUCAAUAGCACUAAUAGUAAUUUCAAUUUAAAACUUUUGUUGAGUAUUAAUCAUGUGUCGUUUGUUUUGCUUUCAGGUGUUUAGAAGUUCAAGUGAAUUAACAAGAUGUGAAGUUAUAUAUUCAUGGUUUAUAUUAAGUAUUUUGAACUUUUUAUGGUUUAAUUGUAUUUUACUAAUGAAUUUCAGAUGCACUUUGCUUUUCAAUUUAUGUCAGAUGGUAGAAGUUUUGAAGAGUAGAGUAGUAUUGUAGUUGCUACAGUGAUUUGCUAGUCAAGUGGUACGAAGCUCAUUUUUUGGUUGAGUGGACUCUACAUGAUCAAAUGCAGGAAAUUAUGAAUAUUAAAGAUAGAUGAUUACAGACUUUUCAUCUUGUCCCAUAUCUCGAUGAUCGUUUAGCAGGUACAAAAUUUAUAUAUUAUGUCAUCUUAAUUUGCUAAAUAUGUAUUGGUAUUUAUAAUUUAGUUGCACAAUGCCGCAUUGUCAAUGGAUGUGUAAUUUGAAUUUGUAGGUUUGUUUUUUAGGGAGUAUAAAAAAUAAGACGAAAAAAAUUAUCGAUCGGUCUCGGGUUGACCCUGAAACUAGACCGAACCCAUUGGGUCGGUCCGGUCCUUGGUCCUAGGCUCAAUAGGGUCGGUCAUCGGUCCUAAAAAUUGAGGACCGACACUGUAUGGGUUGGUCCUAGGGUUAGGGGGUGGCCCGGACCAACCCGGAUCAUGCUCACCCCUAAUGAAGAGAGGAACUGCUUAACUUCAAUAUGCCUCCAAGUAGACUUUGAUAUUGGGCUAUUCAUAGCCUAUUAUUAUAGUAUAUGAAAAUGGAUUCACUAGUGCUUAAGAAAUUGGCAGGUCCCUAGAUUACAACUUUUGAUUCCUUGGCUUCCGCGCGUCCUGUCAUAAUCACCCUUCUUUCUGGGAAAGGGGAACAGAGAGAGAAUGACUUUUGAUUCCUUUAUCCUCUCCUUCGCACAGUAAUUCUUGUCGUUUUCAUUGCUCUUUUGCACAAAUAAUCUAUUUAUGAGCCUCUCUCUCUCUCUCUCUCUCUCUCGCCAUGUAUGUUACUUUUCAAUUUUCUUUGCUAUUUUAUCUAUAAAUUAUAUAUUAUUAUCGUUCUUUCGAUGCUUUUGCACAUGGGGCCUGCAUCUAGGAAUGGUGAAGAGAGUAGGGAGAGAAUGGCGUUUGAUUCCUUCUUCCUCUCCUUCGCACAAUCCGUCUUGUUGUCGUCUCACUUCCUUGAACCAGCGAAAUACAAGGACGUCAAGAAAUAAUUGUUUAUGAAGAAAUUACAAGGCUCCUGCCGACAUGCAGUCCUAUUCUAAAUAAUGUGCACGCUCUUUAGGGUGAAGUGCACCCUCCUAAAAUUACCUCUACAAUUACGACAUUCAUUUGUUGAAUAAGCCCCUAUUUUUUAAUGCAUAACUACCAUUUUAUCUAGCGAUCUCAUUUUUCACAAGUAUCUAUCCUAGUCUAACGUUAAUAAGUUUAUAACCUAUACUUUUACAAUAUGGUCAUUCUCUUCUUAUUUUUAGAAUGAUGUCACUAAACUUUUCGGAAUCGGAAUUAAUAGGUUGGGCAAGUAACAUUAUGGCAUUAAUUGAUGGAAAAUAUUGGAAUUUGAUACCUAAACAAGUGAAAGUAUUGACUGUACAUGUUAUGAUGGCAAUCAUUGUAUUAGACCCUAAGGCACUUUUUAACAAACUCCUUAUUUGGCAAAUUGAAUCACUCGAAGGAAUGCUUUAAAGUGUAUUGUGAUCCCAGUUAACCAAAUAACUAGGCCUAACUGGAAUUUAUUGCGUUGGUGUAAGCAUAAUUUAUGACAUUGGUGACAAGUGGUAUGCCCCUUUUUUAUUCUUAUUUUGCACAUUGCAAUUCAUUGUGUAUAUCACUUUCUAAAUAAUUAUGAAAAAUAUAAUCUUUACAGCCGAUCGGUGUUAAGAAGUUGAAAUCAAGAAGGCAUUAAUUAUUUUUAAAGAGAUUUCAAAUACAGAAACCACUUGUUUAUUGGCAUGGCUUAUAGAAGUUUAUCUUUCCACUUGCAUUCACGAUCCUAAUAUUUUAUGGUAUUCUUUUUUGUGCAUGCUUGAGUGCUAUGUUUUUUUCAUUUUUGCAGCAUCAUGAGAUGGUGGAAACGAAGGAAGUAGCAAGGCCGAGACUAGCAGCAUAGUCUUAUGUUAGUCCUUUUUUUUGGGGGUGAUUUCGAACAUAUGUAAGCUCACUCAAACACAAAGUUGAAAAUAAGAGUAAAUCUCUCUUGAAAGGAUCCACAUUAAAAGCAAACUUAGCUAAACCAUGAACGGAUAUAUUACAUUUCCUUCCAUUGUUUACACCUAUAUAAGAGGACACCGAUACCCUACCUUAUUGGGGAGAAGCUCUAAGCACCACUAAACAUGCUUUUGCGUCAGCCUAAUCAUCCUUCCUCCUCCUCUUAUUCUUCAGCAUGUGUUUUUUUUUCAUCUCUCUCUCUCUCUCCCUCUCUCUUUUCGUUUGUUGGCCUUCUCUUGUAGUUUUCUCGCUCUUUCUUUCUCGGAAGACGCUGCCGUUGCAUUUCAUCUCAUCUCGUUUGAUUUUUAAUUUCAUUUCUGUUGCCUCAAUUUCUCGGAAGCAAGUUGGUCGGAGAUGGGGACCAAGUCUCGGCCACAUUAAAGCCGCCAAAGAAGGCUUGGAAUGUUCAGUACUGGACCCGAAACUACUGCUUUAUUAUCACUCCUCAGAUCUCUCUCAGCACUCGCAUCACACAAAGUCCCAACCAUCCAUCAUCAUCAUGCAUUACAUAGAUCAUGUGGCAUCAUGAUUUCAUUGUCGAACAGUGCGGACCACCUGCUUGUUGUAAGUGUGAAGCCUUCUACUGUUAUUGCACAUGCCCACAAGGAGGGAGUUUCACAGGAGAUCUCGAGGGUAACGGAAAUGGGGGUAGGAAGCUCCUUGAAAGGAAAUGAAAAUUGAUAAGUCUCUUAUUACGUCAAAAUAAAUAUUUACCUGUUGUUGCGUCUCUCUCUCUCUCUCUCUCUCUCUCUCCCCGCGUGCGUCCGUGAAAGAGAGUUGAAAGAUGGCCUGUGUUGAUCGAAAAAGAAGCGAGUCAGGACCAGUGGCCAAACGCAGUCUAUAUAAAGCAUUUUCGUAAAUUAAAAUAGGUCCUCAAUUGAUUCUUUUUUCUUGCAAGAUUAUGGGAAACUGACCCCAUAGUUAUUUUUUCCUCUCUAGCUGAGAACUAUUCAAUUCAGAACAACAAUAUGGGGCUGCUGGGAGGAAAAUAAAUUUCGACUUAAAAAAGUAAGUUUUUUUAAAGAAAGAAAAUACAUCAGUAUAAAAAUUAACAUACAAUAUCUAUAUAUUCAAUAAUCCAAUUCGGUUGGUUAUUAUUAAAUAAUCAAUCUCUUAACAGUAUGAUGAUAUCACACAAUAUAAAUUAUGUACAUUGGGAUAAAUGAUUAUUGUUACAUAAGAAAGUAAAUUUCACCAUAGUAGACGAUAUGGAUCAUGAAAAAGUGCUAAAUGCAGGAUGAAAUUUUUUAUGGCAAUUUUUUCAUUGCGAAGUGCACAUUAAAACUUUUUAACAGUAUUUCCUUUUAAUCAGGACAAAAUCACUAAAAUUUAAUGGCUAAUUUUGUGUGAAGGACUUAUUAAAGUUAGCUGUCAGGCAGAUAAAUUCUUAUAUAUAUAUUUUAGUCAGUACAUAAAUUCUUAUAUUUAGUGAGUGGUUUACCACACACAUCUUGAGAGAGGAAUGGGCUUAUCAUAGUACAUUAAAGAUUUGUCAUGCAAUCAUUUCUGUUCACAUAGGCCUGAUGGGAAUUACAAACUUCCCAUGUUCUUUCGACAACUCUGAUGGUUACGCGCAUAACAUACCCUUUUAGCCUCCUUCAACAAAUCCACUUGAAUGGAUAGACAACUCAAGUUUGCAUAGUUUUUCAGAAUGAUAAUUAUGUUGCAAAAUGGCAUAUGGGCUAUAAGAUUGACUACUGAGGUCAUGGAGGUUAUUGUUGGGAAUAUUAUUUUCCUAAUAAGGAAAAUGCGUUGGGAUCAAUUCAAUAAGCAAAGUUACCUAUACACAUAUUUGAAUGCAUCUGCCCCGUUGCCGUGGAUGCAAAUAGGUUAAAUUGCUCUAGCUACCUUCAAUCGAACUCAAAAAGCACAAAAUCACUAAAUUGUUUGGUCAUAACGAUUGGUGUAAGAUUUGCACCACAAAACAUGUUUCCCAUACUGAAAUGAAAAGGGAUAAUGGAAUAAACAGCAAUGUUUCAUUUCAGCUAUGUAGACCGGAUCAUCAUUAAACAUCGAUCAUAUGCGUGCCAGCCACCAUUCCAUUGUAACACGAAAGCCCGACGCAUUGAAAGCCACAAAAUUUUCGUAGUUGAUUGCUCAGCGAGUGUCCAAAAACGCUUGAUGGCAAAACCAUUUUUAAAUGAUGACCAGAAAGGGAAAAAAAUGAUUACUUUCUCUUUAAUUAUGUCAUCGUCACCUAGACAUGCUCUUUGAAGAAUACACAAUCUGAUAGAUUAGAUGGAAAAAAAACCAAGUGGCUAUAGAUCAAAUUAAAUUGGAAGCCUUCAAGCUUCCAUUUGUUUCUUUUUCCCUAUUUGCCAAGCAACAAUGAUUAUAUUCAUAGCAAAGCUUCCUUGUUUUAUUUGGUCCAUGGGUCAAAAAUAAUAUGCUUAUUGUUUUGUCCCAGGAAGAGAAGAGCUACCUAACUUCAAUAUGCCCACCAGCCAUUCAAAUAGAUGGAAUUUGAUAUAUACUUAUGCAUGCUCUAUUAUUAUAUUUGUGUAUAGAUGUUACAUUAGUGGUACAAAAAUAACUGAAUCCCUAAACCAUAGAUUUUGCUAAGGCAUCACAUAAAAAAAAUAAAAUAAUAAUAAUAAUAAUCGAUGCGGGGAGUGCACUCUCAAGAUGUCUUGGGAAGGUGGACUGAUUGAAGCCUGGGAAAGUUAAUUUAUACACCACUUGGCCGCUAAAUAUGAAAAGAAAAUAAUAUUGAUAAAUAGUUCAUGGGUCUCAAGGUCAAAUAAAAUUAGAAAUUUCAAAGCUGCAAUAUCAAAUAAGAUAUGCAUAUGUUAAAUUAGGAGAACGGUGAGAGUACCUAACCACGAUCCGUCCAUCAACUAAAUUUUCAUUAACGUGGACAAAUCAAUAAAAAAAAAUCAAUAAUUUUAAUCAAUUAUGCCCUAUUAAAACGGGUGUCAAAAGACAUUUGUUUCUAGAGAAAUUACAAGUCCUCGUUGAAAUGCAUUUCUAUUCUAGAGAAGGGGCAUUCUCUUUUGGAUAAAAUGCACCCUCUUCACCAAGAGUUGCGUACUUUUUAAGGUAAAGUACAUGCGUUUUGCUCUCAUUCAGGUCAAGCUCACAUUCGUUAAAGUUCAAGCGUAUGCUUCUUUGGUAUUUAAAACACGGCAUGUAAUGGCUUGUGUGCACAGGCCCUAGAAAAGCCAACAAAGGAACAAAGGAGAGCAAUUGCUUCAUGUCUGAAUUUACAUUGAAGUUUCCUACUGGUCUUCGUCAUUGCUUCGUGCCUGAAUUUACAUUGAAGUUUCCUACUAGUCUUCGUUGACUCGAUGCUUAGAAAAGAUCCAGGGAAAAACUGCCUUCUACCUUUCUAGAAGCUCUAAUGGUUAAAUAAUUGACACAUAAAGGAGAAAUUGUAUGUAUGUAUUAUUCUAAUUUUUCAUUAGGCUAGGUGCAAAAUACUUGAUUAUCAAUUAGAUAUUUCAACCAUGUCUAAAUCCACUUCAUACCUGACUCAUCAAGGUAGUAGGGUACUCUAUGAAUUUAGAAUUUACCUAGGUAAGGGAGCUUUCUCGCGGUCAAGACAAAAAAAUUCAUAGCAAAUAAUUUUUUAUGGAAAAUUAUUAAAGAUAAGUGUAAUUAAGGAUAAACUUUUUGUGGCUUGUCUGUGGAAAAUUGUGAACUGUUGUUGUUUAACGCCCAAAUUCUUGUUAGGAGUAGGGGUGAGCAUGAUCCAGGUUGGUUCGGGCCACCCCCUAACCCUAGGACCUACCCGUACAGUGUUGGUCCUCAAUUUUUAGGACCGAGGACCAACCCUAUUAAGCCUGGGACCAAGGACUGGACCGAUCCAAUGGGUUCGGUAUGGUUCCAGAGUCAAUCCGGGACCGAUCGAUAANNNNNNNNNNNNNNNNNNNNNNNNNNNNNNNNNNNNNNNNNNNNNNNNNNNNNNNNNNNNNNNNNNNNNNNNNNNNNNNNNNNNNNNNNNNNNNNNNNNNCUCUCUCUCUCUCUCUCUCUCCAUAUAUAUUACUUUUCAAUUUCCUUUGCUAUUUUAUUUAUAGUUUGUACAUUACUAUUGUUGUCUUCUCGAGCUAGACCACAACAGCACCCUCUCCGCACCUCUCAUCCUCAAAAUCACUCCUCACCCCAAACGAAACCGCACGAACCCAACUAAUGCCUGCACCGCACCAAUCGGUUCCGAGCAGAGACUCCCCAAGCGUAUUUAUUCAAAAAUAGGCUACAUUAAUUUACAAACUUAAGAUGAAUGUUAUCAUCGUUUUGGUAAAUAAUUAUGAAUAUGGAAAAGGAAAAUUACCAUAAAUUCAAGUUGCAUGCUAUUUCUUAAAUGAAGUUACAAUUUACAAUAACUUAAAGUGAUUUAUUAUCAGUAAUUAUUAAUUGUCAAUCUUAAGCAAGGUAAGCUAUUGAUGGCUUUACGAAGUUGCAUUCUUUGAGGUAAUAAUGACGAGUGACGGCAUUCUUACUUUAAGAGCUCUAUAGCUAAGUUACUACUCCAAAAGGAAAAGCACUAGCUAUAGAUAAAUUGAGAGUAGGACUACUUGAGACAAAUUACUGUGUUUGGAGGUAUAAUCAUCAAAACUGUAUCGAGGAAAAAUUACAAUGUUGUUUGAUAAUUACUAGGCGCUAGCAUUAUAGAGAGUAUUAAGGAAAUUCACAAGGGGAAGUGAAGUUACUGACUAUAAUAAAUUACUGAUUACGACCAUUUGAGGAAGAUAACGGUAUUAUUGAAUAAUUACUAGUGUCAACAUUAAGAAGUUACGAAGACAAAGCAAUGUAAGAUUACUGAGGUCAAUAUCGAUUACAAGUUCCAUCUUUUGAGACAAUUUAGGAUAAGUUACUAUGCUGAGGUGAUCGAGAUUCUCACGGCACACAGUCUACGGCUAAACUAAUAUGUGAAAAAUAAAAAACAUUAACUCUAGGUGCAAUUCAAAUUAUGCCAAGACAGUUAAAUUUCAAUUACUACGUACAAGAACUAUAAAAUAUGACCUUUCUAGGGAAAUUAUAAUACCAUUGAAAAUCUCUUAAAACGAAGUCAUUUACCUUAGAGGAAGUACUUUAAUUUACCUUUGAAAUGAGUAAUUUAGCUUGCAAGUAAAGUUCAUAAAUCAGCUUAUUGUAUCGUAGAAGCAAAAUGAAGUAUGGAAAUUAUAUCUUGCGUUCGUAAAUUAAUUUCUUGUAUCAGAACGCUCAGUUACUUGCGACAGCAGGUCAUUUAAUAUAUUCAUGGCAUACAGCAGGGGAUACAAUCCUGUACUUUCCUAUCAUUGCAUAUUCAUUAUCAACAAAGUGCAACUUACAGACAAUACAGGCUCGGAGACUUCUUAAGUCGUCUCGAUCAGCAAGAGCAUCGAUGUUCCUCGACAAUGAACAGAACAAAGACCAAAGUAUAUAUGUUUCGAACCUUGAUAUAAAAAAAACUCUUCAUUGCAUUAACUCUUCUCGGAUCACCGUCAACAUGGAGAUGCACAAUGGAAGAACCAGAAUCUCACCAAACAGUGAUCCCCCUUUAUUUUCACUUCUUGCCACGCCAUUCCUCUGUCACAUGCAGGAAAAAAGAAUGGAGUGAUGGGAUCUAUUCCUGUCACUCCAAGCAUGAACUCGAUCCCGCUUGGUGCAUGAACGUCUCAACUCAGCAGCUCAUAAGCAGAGGGUAAAUCAUGCAAGGGAUGGCCUUUCCGGUUUCUCACCAUUAUUCUUCUUGCCAGGGAAUGCUUCCCAACUGCCAAGACUCCAGAACCUCUUGCUGUUCUUCCAACAUGGCGGACAUAUUCGCUCAGGUCGCACAGGAAGUUGAGGAGAAUAACAUGAUCCACUCUGGUAAAGCUGAUUCCUCGUGACGCCCUGCCAUAUGGUUCAAAAAUCAUCAGGAUCUUGCAAAUACUGAAGGAAAGAGGAGAGUGACUGUCUUAGGUAAAUUUGUAUGUGUCCAGUGACCCUGCCAAUAGUUAAAAGUGCCUGCCUUUUAUUUGACUGUGUCGCAAACAGUGCUGUUAAAAUCACUAGGCACUGUUAAGAGGCUCAGACCCCACGGUGCCUCAGGCGCUGGGCUGAACAAUGAGAGGUGCUAAGUAGAAAGUGGGGAUUAAUCCAUCACAAAACAAAUUAUUAGGUCUUUUCACACUUAGAAAUCACAAGUUAUUCGAGGUCUGCAUUGAAGCACAUAUUGCACUGGUGCAAGACGUUAACCUAGACAAAUCUUUUCUGAGGCAAUACCUCAGAGGAGCACCUCAUCUCAGGUGCUUACCUCAAACAAAGAAACCUUGCCUGAGAUGAGGUGAGGAGCAGAGGCUUCGCGUCGCUUUGCCUGAGCGCCUAGGUGAGUGCCUUGCUAGCACUCAGCUCUUGCCUAUCAAAGAAAUCGAACUGAGCCCAAUACCAGAAAACUUGUAAGUACAGGCCCAAUCAUUCACAAAACCCACAAGACAGAACAAGGCCUAUCCCCGCCAAUACUAUUUUCAUCUAGUUCUUGUUGAGACUGAAUAAUCAUUAAAUGUGCAAGCUUAAACUGAGAACUGAAGGCCUGGGUCUUGGCAGGCCAUGCAUGGUUUAACUAAAGGCUCACUAGGGAUCAAUCUCGGCCACAGAACAGAUCUAUCUCUAAAAGCAUAGUUUGAAUGGCAUCGGACAAAGCAACCAUACAUACCUGUCGGUGUAAACCAAAAACAAGGAGACAUCUUUAGAUGGAGAAGCAGAAAACUCUUUCAUAUUUGCCUGUAGUGACUUCUGAAACAGCAGCAUGAAAAGGUAGAACUUGGAUAAGAGUGCCUUCUCUGUAAAUUUGUUCAAUGCAUUUUCAACUUUCCAACAUGUGUCAAUCUGUAUAGAGAAGAGGAAGGAUGAAUUCAAAGUAAUGAUGAGUCCUCCAUCCAGCUGGUUUCAGAGCCUUCUCUCAAACUCCAGCUCAGGAGUUGAGGUGAAUGUAAUGAUGAGUCAAUUUCAAGCAGCCUAUACUGAAAAAUCAACAUACCUUGUUACAGAAAACAAUUGUUUUGGUUACUGGGCUUUCUUCCGCAAGCUGAAUAAGACCAGACUUCUUAUUCAGGUAUGCAGUAGUUGGAGUCUUUUCACCAUCUUCCUCUUUACAAUCUAUGAGAAACUGGACAUGACAUGUAACUGUCAAAUUCGCCUCUAUUACAGUGGUAUUCCAUUAGUUUUCUUCUUGACAGGAAAAUGGGAGGAAUGGAAACUAGUUAGCUCCCACGGCAAAUUUAUGUAACAUGUUCAUCAAGGGGAGAGGACAAAGCAAUUUCAUGUAACAGAAGAUUACUCUUCAACCCAAAUGAGAAAGCUCUCAGCCCAUCUAGGAUACUGUUGCGAAAAUAACCCUUCUCCAGUAUAUGCAGCCUAAAUUAGUUCGUACAAUACCUCUCUACAAAAUAUAUAUAUAUAUUAAGAUUCAACAAACUGGCAAAAUGAAAUUAAAACAAUUUUCCGGACAACUGCACAAACUCUUCUGCAAAUUGAGGAAAGAAGAGAAACAGAUCGGACCCUAAUAUAAUCCUCAAUCCUCUUGGCACAAUCAAUGAAAUUUCAGAGACUUCUCCUGAUUUUAUUUUUCUUCAACUCCAAGCAGAUUAAAUGACUUACAGAAUGCUGGAGGCACCUUUAGAUAGCAUAGACAGCUUUUUGGCCAAAAGAAUAGUAUAGACUACCAAUAAACAUGUGCUAAGAGUCAUUCAAGGAAAAAAAUUUCAUUCCACUCUUCAUCCACUUUCCAUCUUCCCUUGUCAAUAUGCAGUAACAAUCCACCCCCAAAUCCAAAGCAUCAACAUAAAAACUUGCUCCAUCACUUUUAGGGAGCACAAACUACAGCUUAGUUAUGAGUAAUAUAUUGUCCCAAAGCAUCCAGAAAAAUGUACAGACAUGGAAGUGAAUCCUUUUGUGCCUAGAUUAGAUAAUAGUAAUGUAUCCAUUGGCAAAUAAUGGAAAGGGGAAUAAUACAGCUUUAGACCAACCUCUUCAAGGUGAGGGCAUGUCCGAUGAAUGCCAGGUCCUAUGAUCACUUCACAGUUGAGAAGAAUUUCAACUAUUUCGUUAUAUAUAUCUACCUGUGCGGCGACAAGUAAAGAAUUGAUUAUGCUUUGAAACGCUGCUCCAAACUCCUCAUCAUAAAAGAUACUAUUCAUAGCAGCAGUUGCAAAACAAUCUGCAACAUGUAUAAAGAUACUAUUCUUAUAGAGCUCUUUGUUUGUAGCUUAGCAUGGACUCAAAUCUGCUAAAUGCCAAAAUCAUCCAGACUUUGAUGUCAUUCAAAUUCUUAGCAGGCAAAUCCAUUAGCAAAAGAUUUUUUAACUUCAUAUCUAUAUCAAACAAUAUGACGAGUGGAGCUUUCUCAAUUUGUCAAUUGUCACCAGUCAUUUCUUGAGGAAAUCUAUCAGGGCUAACAAAUGGCAAUAUAUAUAGCAAUUUUGUAAAUCAAAGCAAAGGUCUCCAUAACUCAAGCCAGAAAAUCAAGAUUCAGCUAUGUAUAUGUAAGAAUAGAAAUUUCGCUAAUAUUUUCCUUUCCUCGGAGAAUGGUGAUGAAUCAUGGUGGCAGUACUAAAUCUAGAAAACAGUAGCACAAUCACAUUCGUUACUCAAAAACAGAUGAGAAGACGAUAAUUUUGAAUAGCUCAUGCACCCAAACUUAUUUGUGCAACAUUAUACGAUGCAUAGGCUUACCAUCCAAGAUCUUUCGACUCCAAAAAGCCCUCUUUAACAAGAAAAAUAAAGCGACCAAGUGUGGCUAUUAGGCAUCAAGACCUUUUAUAUUUUCCAGCUGAGUUUUUUUCCUGAAACUGCCCAUGGCAACCAUAGACCAGAAUGGAGCCCCAAACUUCGAUAUGGAUUGGCAGUUACUCAAAACCUGCAUAAAAUUUACUAUAGAUAUUAAGUAUCGCUUAUGUGGAUGCAAAAAUUUAUGUUAGGUUUGUCAUCCACUACUGGCAAAAACAAGCAUUGCUAUACAUAAAACCAACUACAGAGUAUCUCCAAAUUCAGAACGCAUCCAUUUUCAACAGCUCCAAGGAGAUUACCAGUUUUGCCACAUGAGUGGAUUGUGCACAUCAUUAAGCAACUGUGUGCCACUCAAAUUGUAUAUUUGUCUUUCCAGAAACCCAGUACAAUCUUUCAGAUUGCAAGAAAUCUCUUCUUUUUUCUUAUUUGAAAGAAGAGAUGACAAUUUGAGUAAAAUAGACAAGUUGUCAAAAACACACUGACUGCCACCAAAAAUGAAUUGGAGUUCUUUUUUCACCACAAAUUGGCUGCUUAAGCAAUGGCCUAUCAUAGUAUAAAAUGAGAGUUUAAAAUGGCCAUAAACUAGUAAAAGUCAGUGACCUGCUUGCCAAAGCACAUAAGGGUAAAAGAAAAGGCACAAGAAAGGAUACUAACUGCCAACCUGUGAAGCUAACUCAACAACUAGCACCAAAAUGACAACUUAAGGGCUUCGUGAGAAUGAUUUGCUAAGUCCUUGCAGCUCUUCUUGCCUGACGUUGGACUACUGGUGCAAGAUAAGCGAGUGUUUUUCUUGAACCACUCUGAUCAGCUAUAUUACAAGUGUUUCCCUCAAUUACAGGUUUAUAUGCAAUCGCCUGGAGUCAUCAAUAGUUAGCAUCAAUCUGAGUUGCAGUACAUAAGGAGAAGUUCUUCCUUUUGUCAAAGAAUAGAUAGAACAUCUCAAUGCAAUUACUUAUCAAUACUUAUGCUAAUGAAAAGACAAAAACUGACGCUUUAGGUUGGCCCCUCAAUGACUUCCACAUCCAUCAGCUCCAAAUUCCAAUUUACAGAUAAAAUAUUAAUGAUGACGAAUGCAAGCUUACAUCUAGAACUAUACAAAAACAAGGUCAUCAUUGAUUUGAAGCUCAAUGUGGAUAUUAUGCAGACAGUAGAUAUAAUGAUGAUUAGAAAGUGCUCAUGUUUAUUACAUUGCCAGCUAAAACAGCAGUAAGGAAGCAAUGACCAAGUUCCUUCCAUUUUCCCAGCAGAAAAAGCAACAAGCUGAAACCUUACUUUGAGUAGGUCAUACUAUUGAUGUACCUGAAUAUGUGAGGGGCACAGAAAAUGCUGCUUCCUCAAAGAUUCAAUCAUAUACUCACUACAACCCAAAUCUUCAAAGGACUUUCGACCAUGGAAGUCACUAUUGGAGGAAACUUUCCUAUGCAAACUUAGAUCUUUCGAGUCAGAUCUAAAGUCAUCCAUGGACACCCCCCUGCCCCAUCCUCUGAAAUCUGCAUAAGAACUACAAACUGAACGCUUUGUUCCAAUUACUCUGGUGGUAGAUGUGCCAUGUUUAUUGGGUUCCUUUCAGUGCAGUGAACAAUCCAUAUCUUUUAUGUCUGUCCUUGCUGCAGCGUCUUUGGCAGCUUUGGAUUGGUAAGCACUUGAAUCCUUUCCUCCACGUCAAAGGAUAGCUGCUUCCUUCUGUUUCCCCAGUAGGUCCAAUUUAGAAAAAGAGAGAUUAGGCAUAUCAAGAGGUACACUUUCUACUACUGGUUCAUAAUCUUUGCGAUUCGCUUGUUUUAGCUUGGAAGAUUUUUCAGCAAGAGAUUUAACUCUCAGCAAUUUCAGUCGUCCAAAACAUCUGCCUAGACCACUCACACUUGCUGUAGGAGAAUAUCAUCUUUCGGCAGGGUUGACCCAUGAUGAUUGCCUGUAUAAAAGAAAAAGAAAUGACGGUCAGACUACAUUUUAUCGUAGGAAAAACCAAAUUCUUCUCCAAGCUCUGACUUUACACAUUGCACAGAGGGAUUCGGAACGCUACAAGAAAGUCUUAGCACAGAUUGAAAUGGGAGAGAAAUUUCUAACUCUGUUUGCAUACAUCUGUUUUCAAGGCAGCCUAAGAAAACCAAAAAAUCAUUUACCCAAGACUGUAUAAUUCAGAUAAGCUCCAAAAGAAAAUCUAAUGUUGGAUUUGUUAUCCUCCAUCUGAACACAAUGCGUAUAACAAAUCGUUGGAGUCGUUGCAAGAGCUUGGAUACCAAUUAUCAACAAUGCAAAAAAAAAAAAAAAAAACCAACAAGGAAUAGGGAAUUCGUCAUCAGAACCGACUGCAUCAGUCAUUCUGACUUGCACAUUCACAUCAAACACGUCUACAGUCAAAUGCGAACUACGCAAGUUAACAGCUCAAUUACAGAGAUAAAUCCAACCCUACCGUCUCGUCGUCAAUUGGCUGGUAGGCCCCCGCCCGAGUCUCCGAGGGCCAAGGCUCAGAUAUUAAAAAUACCCUAAUCUCUUCCAUGUUGAAUAUUCAAGAGUCCGAAUCCCUUUUCUCAAGUAAUUGACUUGGAGUCGUCAUCACCCAAUAUAACUUCUGGGAUUUCGCGGAUGAGGGGCCAAUAGUGGCCGGUCCCUUUCCUGCAUCGCUCCUCCAGAAUCUCACAUCCCGAGAUCCGGAGUUGACAUAGGGAGGGAAGGAGGCCAUCUUGGGGCAACUCCCUCAGCUUCGGGGCAACCCAAGAUAAAUAAGGUCUGGAGAGAGGGAGGGAGACUGGUGGACAUUCUUUCCACGUUCUUCAUGUCAAAGAUAUAGAGCUGGGACAGAGAGGAGGAAGGGAGCGGAAGCACAAGAUCCUCCUCCUCUCCCACUCCUCCCACGCUGCCGUCGAUCGCUAGAACUAGAAGGGAGGUGAGGGAGGUAAGCCACUCCUUCAUCGGCUGCUUCAUAUUCUCGCAUCCAAAUAAAAAAAGCACCUCUAACUGGAGUGGCAAUCCUUCAUCGGGGAAGCGCGUAAUACUCUCACACCCAUUAAUAUCCAGAUGUCGAAGACUCGUGAGUCGAUGCAAUUGAUUAGGUAACGAUUUUAUCUUCGGACAAUCCCCAAGCUCAAACGUCGAGAUGCCGGGAGGAAGAGGAGGGAAGCACUCCAGCUCUAGUGCAGGACACUCCCCCAAUGACAAGAAAGUGAGAUGGGACAAUGUGUGCAGCCCCUGUGGUAAGCUUCUCAAAUUUGUACAAGAUUUAAUUAUAAUCCUUUUAAGCGACUGAAGGCGGUCCACAUGUAUCUCCGCGAGCGACUCCAUUCCCCCACACGACUCAAUUUCAAGUGUCGUGAGGGUCGCAGGUACAAAUCUAUUCUCGCUGAAUGGAGAGACCGACGGAGAAGUGCAUUCGUAGAUAUUUGAAUUUUGCAAAUGAAACGUCAUGUCACUGUGGUUAUUGCUGCUUGGUUCAUCCAUAUGAACACUUGAUCCUCCAAAUAAAGAUAAUAACAUCUUGCAAUCUCGGAUAUUUAAUGAUAUCAUUGAUGCCAACAUACCUAUUUCAAGGAAGGACACAAGUUUUGGACACUCCUCAAUGGUCAAGUCUUGAAGAGAGGAGAGGGUAUAAAUCUUGCUUGGGUGCUUCUCUAGAUUGAUGCAAUUCCGCGAGUCCAUAGUCUCCAACUUGCUACACAACUCUAUAUCUCCUUCUCCAGUUGAAAAUGAUAUCAAUUCAUGACAACUUUUGAUAACUAAGCUCUUUAGACAAGCGAGAUUUUGAAUUACAUCUCUCUCUUGCCACAAGUAUAUCAAAUUUUUACAACUUUCCAUCUCCAACUUCUCCAGCUUCACUAAGGAGCUUGUAAACCCAUAAUUUAAACAAGUUAAUUCACUAACAUCUUGUAGGACAAGAGCAGUUAGAGAUGUCAAGUUUACCAAACUCUUCAACACUCCCUCAUUACAACCUCUAAAGUUUAAUUCAUUGAGGGAUGGAAGGCUAUAAAUAAAGGAUGAGGCAUCCAUACGAGGACAGGAGUUGAUUUCCAGCUUUCGGAGGGAGCUUAGUUGACUAGGCAAUCUUCCAAUCAACAUAGGACAAUCCCGAACAACCAGAUACUCAAGACAAGGGAAUAAAACUCCUAAUUCUUCAUUGCCGACGCAAUGAGACCAAUCCUCCCACAAUGGCAUGUCCUUGAAUUCCAAAGUCAUUAAGGAUGGAAAAGGAUUUUUAGUUUCAUAAAAUUCAGACCCUACCAUGCGUAUUGCAUUUAGACUUUCGAUGUACAAUUCUUUUAAAGAAGAUAAUUGUCCCAGUGAGGCUAAUGCUUUGGCCCGACAACACCCAUGUAAACGUAAAUGCACCAUAUUAAUAUAUGAGGGACUUCCUAACCAUGAUGAGAAUUCUAGGCCACCAUAGUAGGAUAUUGCGAGAUUUUCAAGAUUUGGGUGAGGGCGAAGAAAGUCAAGGACUUUUGCUUCAAGCUCUUCAUUUCGGAAAUUUCCAAAAUCUUUGCACCAUUGCAUGGUCAACUGGCAUAUUCCCUCCUUCAUGCAUAAAUUGGCAUCCAUGGCAUCUCUGGCUUCUCGUACCUUAUGCAAGUUUGAGAUGCACAAUUCCCCUCCAAGGUUCUUUAGGCUUUCUAACUCCUUCAACCUUGACCCUGCUUCCAUUCCCACUACAAAUUUGGAUAGCAUCUCAAGACCCACCAAAUUACCUAUAUAUUGCGGCAUCGCUUUUAGGCUCGGAGUGUCGGUAAAGUCGAGAAAUUUUAAAUUGAUUAGCUUCUCCACACCUUCUGGUAAUUCAGUAAGGUUUUGACAUCCUCGUAACAUCAAGGCUUCUAGGUAGUACAAUGCAACAAUUGACUUUGGAAGGGUUUCAAUGUCAGUAUAUGACAAAUUGAGGCACCUCAAGUGCCUCAGUUUGCCAAUGCAAUCCGGUACCUCUCUGAUGCGACAGUGACGUAAUGAAAGCACCCUCAAGUACUUCAAUUCGGAUAACAAGUCACCUAACACUUUCUCAGAUAAAUAAGUAGGUUGCUUUCUUAACGAUAUGAAGCUCCUAAGUCCUUUCAUUCCAUGAUACAUCUCGAAUAAUUCUGCGAUAAUUUGACGAUUGCAAAUGAAUGAGGCAUAACGAGCUAAAGAUGCAUUAUUUUGAUAAUCGUCAUAAUCAAACUCCUCAAAGCUAAAACAAGUUGCACCGGCAACUAGCUUUGCGAGGUCAUUCACAAGAUCAUGCAUCAAGAAUCGUGAUUCGUUGCUACUCAACUUUUGAAGUAACGAUCUAGAUACUAGCUCGUCAAAAACUUUCAAACCUGCAUUCCAAUAGUUCUUUCCUUCUUUUCCCUCCAACAAGCCCUCUGCAAUCCAGUAGUGAAUCAACUCAUCCCGUUCAAUUUCAUGAUCCUUGGGAAAUAUAGCGCAGUAAGCGAAACAUCUCUUCAAAUUUGAAGGGAGAUGGAGGUAGCUAAGUUUCAAGGCCGGAAGGAUAUCAUUACUUUCUUUUGGUAGAUCCCAAAUUUUGCUAUCCAAUAUAGCUUGCCAUUCAUGGGGACUAACUUUAAAGCUCAACAACCCAGCCAAAGUCUUCACGGCUAAUGGUAACCCUCGGCAUUUUUCCACUAUUUUCAUACCUAAUACUUCAAGAUUUGGAUGAUGAUCAAAAUUUCCCACUCCAAGAGCAUGAAAUGCAAACAAAGUCAUACAAGAAUCUUGUGACAACUCUUUGAGAAUAUAAGGUUGAGCACGGGCUAUUUCAGCAACGCGAAAACUACGAGUUGUGACAAUGACCUUGCUUCCCUUCACUCCCGAUUGAAAGGGCUUCAAGAGGAUAGUCCAGUUGCCAUAAUUCUCAUUCCAAACAUCGUCUAAAAUGACAAUAAACUUCUUCCCUGCAAGGUGUUCCCUGAGCUUACCAUGAAGCCAAUUCAGGUCCUUUCCUUCACAGGGCAAAUGGUCAUUCACUAUCUCAAGGAUCUUCUUUGUAAUAGCAAGCGCGUCAAAAUCAUCGGAAACACAAGCCCAUGCUUUCACAUUGAAAUAGUCGGUGACUCUAGCAUCAUUAUAGACUUGCUGAACCAAAGCCGUCUUCCCAAUACCCCCCAUCCCUACUAUGGGAAUCACUUUUAGAUCUGCACAUGUCCUAUCAUCUUCUUCUUCUUUGGUCAACAAUUCAAGGAUCUUCAUUUUUUCAACCUCCCUGCUAACAAAACAAGGCUCGGACAAACUUGUAGUGUGAAGCCGCUUAUCCACUCCUACGUAUGCCACUCGCUUCCCAUUGUUCUCUCUCAAGCUCAAAGUAUCUUUCUGAGUGAUGAUAUCCUUUAAUCUACCAUCCAUCUCUUCUAUCUUGGAUCUCAUUUUAUGAUCAAACAUAAAUGCUUUCAGGCUCAAGCUAAAGCAACAACUAGGAAGAAGGGAACGUGCCUUGCUAGUGCCGGGUUCUGCCUUGGACUUAUUUUUCACGGACUCCAUGGCGAACUCGUCAAGCAAGUCUUCGAUGUCAUAGACCAAGUUCCUGAGAUCUUUAAGCCACAACUUCACAUCGGGAUCGUCGGUGAGUUGCCUAUCCUCUGCAUCAUCCAACGCCUUGUUGAUGCUAAUCAACAUCUUCUCCCAUUUCUUCAGCAGCGUAUCUAUACCCUCGCGCCGCGCAAAGUUGAGAACCUCGUGAGAGGCCAACCUUUCGAAAAGCACCGAAAGAAAGGCGCCAAGAAAGAGCUCUGCGAUGGGCAUGGCUUGGCUCACGAGUGGCAGAGGAUUAAACAAGAGUGCUGAAAGGGUCGAAACAAAGUGCAGAAAGCGGAGAGGAAACAAAAGUUCUUCCGUCCAGGACAAUGAGAUGAAAUGAUGGUGUGAAUCAAAGACUUUUUAAGCACUAAAGCGCUCUUUCUUUCUCGGAAGAAGCUGCCGUAGCAUUUUUUUCCAUCUCUUCCUCGCUGAUUCCAUUUCAUUUCUGUGGACUCGAUUUCUCGGAAGCAAGUUGGUCGGAUGUGGGACCGAGUCUUGGCAUCAUUGAAGCCUCCAUGCAUCGAAAGUUCCAAAAAUUAUUCAGUUGAUUGCUCAACAAAUGUCCAGAAAUACUUGAUAAAAGAAAAAUCAUUUUUGACUAAUGGCUAGAAAGAAAAAAACCGUUGCUUUUCUUAAUUACUAUGGUUGCUACUUAGCUUCGCUCUCUGAAAAGUACAUUACGCGUUAGAUUAGCAGCCAAAUAUUGAGUGGGCAUAAAUCAAAUUAUAUUGCAAACUUUCAAGCACCAUUUUCUUUUUCCCUUUUAUAAUGAUUAUAUUCACACCAAAGCGUCCUCAUUUUAUUUAGUCCGUGCGUCAUUAAAAUAUGCUUACUGUUUUGCCAACCUAACUACAAUUCGUCCACGAGGUAAAUAUUUUAUCCAAAGAUGGACAAAUUGAUAAGUUUAAUUAAUUACAAGGUUUAAGCGGUGGUUCAAGAAGUGGGUUAGCCUGAGGACGCUGUUUAAGGGGGGUUUAAGAAAUGGGAGAGGACCUUAUGUGGAGUUGCAGAAGUUAUUCUCUAUCUGCCCUCUUUACCAUGUGCGGUUGCAGGCCUCGUGUGCUAAGCAUCGCAAGAAGGGGAGGUGAUUAUGGCAGGACAUGUGCGAAAGCCAGGGAAUCAAACUUUGAUAAUUCAUGUAUUACUUUUCUAUUUUCAUUGCUCUUUUUGAGCAAAUAAUUUAUUUAUUAAACGCCAUUCACUCUCUACCCUCUUCACCAUUCCCAGAUAGAGGCCCCAUGCGCAAAGCAUAGAAAGAAGGGUGAGCAUAUGGCAGGACAUGCGCAGAAGCCAAGGAAUCCAACUUUUAUAUUUCAUAUCUUACUUCCUAUUUUCAUUGCUCUUUUGUACAAAUAACUUAUUUUAAGCAAGGAAUCGAACUUUUAUAAUUCAUAUUUUACUCCCUGUUUUCAUUGCUCUUUUGUACAAAUAACUUAUUUAUUACUCUCUCUCUCUUUCUCUCUCUCUCCCCCCCCCCCUCCAUGUAUAUUACUUUUCGAUUUUCUUUGCUAAAUAAAAUUUUAGUUUACAUGUUGUUCUUUCGAUGUUUGAUCCCUUCUUCCACUCCUUCACACGGUACUUUUUGUUGUCUGGCCUCCGUUUCUCGAUGCCAAGAGAUAUUUGUUCAUAGCGAAAUUAUAAGGUCGUUGUUGAGAUGUUGUCCUAUCCUGAAUAAUGUGCAUGCUCUUUAGGGUGAAGUGCACUCGCCCCACAAUAAAGUGGUCACUUUUAUUAAAAGGAAGUGCAUGCUUCUCGUGAUAAUAUACCCUCUCAUUCAUAAGGAAAAAUUACCAAAAAAAAAAAAUUUGGACUUACUAUAAUUAUAUAAUCUCAGUCCUAAGUAUUUUAAUUUGGUCAAGAAACAGGUUUAGGACUAGUGCUCAAUCCAUGUUUAUCCUUCAACAGUGGUGGAAAGAUCUGAGAUUGUGGUGACUCUGACCAGUAAAGUAGACGCACUUUUUUUAUGGAUCACAUUUGCUAUACUUGCUAUUACUCGAUUGUUCAUAAGUCCACUAUUCUUGUCUUGAUUGAGGCGACGGGCUUCUUUGUUAUUUAACCUUUGGCUGGUGACGACUUGGAGCAAUCUGCUACCAAGCUUUCAGCUUCCCAGGUAAUUGACUGAUUUUUAGUUAAGGUCUUAACUAAGGUUAAGCUACGGUGGUCCAUAGUCCAUCCGCAUCUCUUCUUUCUAUCCUCGUCAUUCGGGUCUCUAGUCACUCUAAAACUCGGCCUAUGAUAAUUAAAUAUUCCAGAAAAAAGUUGCUGUGCUUUUUUUUUCUCCGCCGAUUGCUCCUUCGCACUCCCCUUCCUUCGUUCUUGUUUGCACUCGAAUCUCUACACCUUCUUAAUCUCUCAUCGUUGAUUUCAUUUGAUUUAAUUUAAUGGGAGCAAGUUGGUCAAUAAUGGCAUCCUGGUCUUGGCAUUAUUAAGGCUGCUCUCUCAAUUUCUUUCCCACUCAUUUUUUGUACCCACCCAUCAUCACCAUGCAUCACAUAGACAUAUUGGCAUCAUCGUCUCAUUGACGCGGUCUCGUACAUCGGUCAUAUAAGUCCCAACCAUUAUUCCAUAUUACAUGAGAACUCAAUGCAUUAAAAACUGUAUAAUUUACUUAGCUGGUCAUCAAGUGUCCAGAAAGACUAGUUAAUAAUUUUUUUUUAAAAUAAUGACUAAAAAAAUUGUUACUUUAUCUUCAUUACUGUCAUUGCUACCUAGUUUCGCUCUCUAAAAGAUACGUUAUGCAUUAGAUUAGUGGCAAAAAAUAGAGUGGUUUGGAAUCGAAUUAAAUUGCAAACCUUCUAACACCAUUUUCUAUUUUUCCCCUUUUAUAAUGAUUAUACCCAUAAUGAAGCUUUCUCAUUUUAUUUGGUCCGUGGGCUCAUAUUAAAAUAUGCUUAUUGUAUUGUCAGCCUAACUACAAUUCGUCCAACGGAUAAAUAUUUUAUCCAAAGAUGGCCAAAUUGAUAAAUUAAAUUAUUUAUAAGGUUCAAGGGGUAAGAAGUGAGUCAGCACGAGGAUGCGGUUCAAGGGGUGGUUCAAGAAAUGGGGGCCAGACAACAACAAGAAUUAUUGAGCGAGGAAGAGGAAGAAGGAAUCAAACGCCAUUCUCUCUCUACCCUCUUCAUUAUUGCCGGAUGCAGGUCCCAUGUGCAAAGCAUCGAAAGAAGGGUAAUUAUGGCAGGAUAUACGCGUAAGUCAAGGAAUCAAACUUUCAUAAUUCCCAUGGGGUCAUUGGUCUUCUGCAUAGAUAAUUUAUAUAUUACUCUCUCUCUCUCUCUCUCUCUCUCUCUCUCUCUCUCUCUCUAUCCAUGUAUAAUACUUUUCAAUUUUUUUUCUUUUAUUUAGAGUUCAUAUGUUAUUAUUGUUCUUCCCAUGCUUUGCACAUGGGACCUGCAUCUAGGAAUGGUGGAUAAGGUAGAGAGAGAAUGACGUUUGAUUCCGUCUUCCUCUCCUUCGCACAGUACUUCUUGUUGUCGUCUAGCCCCCAUACCUUGAACCAGCUAAGUACAUGACAUCAAGAGAUAAUUAUUUAUGAAGAAAUGACAAGGUUCCUAUCGAGAUGUAGUCUUAUUCUAAAUAAUGUGUAUGCUUUUUAGGGUGAAGUGCACCCUCCUCACAAUAAAUUGCUCACUCUUUUACGGUGAUUUGCACAAUCUUGUUCACAUCAAGUGCAUAAUCCUUAAAUGUCAAAGUGCAUUUCCUUCCUAGAGUUGAGUGAACACUCAUUAUAAUCAAGAGUGAACUCCUUCUGACAUCUGAAUUAAUAACGUGCCUCUUUUGAUGAGGAGCAUGUCUCUUAAGCAGGUUGAUGUUGAUGAGACACUCAUAAUGUUCCUAUUGUUCUAUCAAUUUAAUUUCGGAAUUCUCUAGGAAGUCAAUGUUUGCUUUCUAUUGUUGUAGGAACUUGAUAAUCUAAACUAGAUCUUGUCCAAUACAAUUAUUUGUGAAAUAGAGAUGAGAGUUUUCUAUUAUUUUAACCAUUGUUUGAAUUUCAGUGUAAGUUCCCACCUAAAAAAUCCUAAUUUAGAGCAAUUGACCCUUUUGUGCCUUGACUCAAAAUUGAAGCAAUGAACAUCUAUCUAGUGGUUGCAACUUAGCCUUUGAUGCUCUGUGCAGCCCCUGAUCCAUAAUCUGCUCUAACUCUAGGGAAGGCCACGAUUAAGAGUAAUCCCAUCCUCUCCUUUCCAACAAAUGGUCUCUUCUUGUACGGCUCUUUAGAUGAUAAAUAAAUGAUAAUGCUCUCCAGCAGAAUAUUAAAAAGUAUAGUUUGAUUGAUUGAUUGUUUAAACUGGAAUACUAUGCAUGUGUCAAACUUUUCUUAAUAUGCCGCAUAUGAUCCAUUUGUUUAAAGGUCUAUUUGUAGUAUGCUAUAUUACUUGGUGUAUCAAUCUAAUUGAUUGCUCCAAAAAUCAUCUAGCUUUGUCAUCUUUACAAAUGGAGAGCCCUAAUUAUCAUCAGUGAUAAAAGUUCGACAAAUUGGCUCAUUGUUCUUACUCUUUGAUAUUCUAUUCUCCUAUUUUUUCCAUAGCUUAAGUAGUUUAGACUCAAAGAUAUCCAUUCCAUUAACGAUAUGGUAUAGUGCAUAGCAAGGUUAAUCAUCCUUCAAACACGAAAUUGAACAUGAAAAAAUACAUAGGAUAUUCACAUCAAUCAAAUUCUUAUUUUUAAUCAAACAUUAGUUUAUUAAGACAACCAAAUACACCCAUAGUGGUCAAGUCAUUUACAUAGGAAGUUCAAAAAGGUCAAUUGAUAAUGAGAACAUGAUUAAAAUGCGACCAUUUUUUCAAAGUUCCAAUAUCAAAUGUUAGGAAUUUGAAGUUUUUAUCAUUUCUUGAAUUUAUUAUACUUAAUAGGGUAAGAUUGACUGUGAUUCCCAAUAAGGAUCCUAAUAUUUUAUGGUGUUCAUUAUUGUGCUUGAGUGCUAUGUUUUUCCCAUUGUUGCAGCAUCAUGAGAUGGUGGAAUUGAUUGUCUAUGAUAGGUACGCUAUUCAAGGAAGCAGCGGGGCCAAGACUGGGCAGCAUCGUCUUAUGUUAGCUUUCUUUAAUAUGAUUUCAAACAAACGUAAACCCACUUGAACACAAGUUGAAAACAAGAGCAAAUCUUUUCGAAGGGAUCCACAAUUUAAGCCAAUCUAGCUAAACUAUGAACUGGCUGCAUUAUCUUCCUUCCGUUAUUUACACCUAUACAGCAGGACACCGAUACCCUACUCCAUUGGGGAGAAGCUCUAAGCACCACUAAACAUGCGAGUCGAAAGACUUUCGCGUCGGUCCAACCAUCCUCCCUCCCCCUCUUCUCCUUCUUCAGUAUCGUAUGUUCUUUUUCAUCCCUCUCUAUGUCUCUCCGUCUUUUCAUUUGUGGGCUUCCUCGUCAUUUUCUCACUCUUUCUUUCUCGGAAGACGCUGCCAUUGCAUUUCAUCUCAUCUCAUUUGAUUUUUAAUUUCCUUUCUGUUGCCUCAAUUUCUCGGAGGCAAGUUGGUCGGAAGUGGGAACCAAGUCCUGGCCAUCGUUAAAGCCACCAAAGAAGGCUCGGAAGGUUAAAAAGUGGGCCCGAAACUUCACCUUUAUUAUCGUUCGUCAGUUCUGUCUCACCAUUCACAUCACGCAAAUUCCCAAAUGCACCCAUCCACCAUUGUCAUGCAUCACAUAGAUCAUAGGGCAUCAUGGUUUCACUGAUGCAGCCUCGCUAGCCCCAUGUCAUUAUCAAAUAAAGAAGCAGCCGUUCCCUAAACUUAAUAUAUGUAAAUCAGAUCAUCAUUAACCAUUGAUCAUAUGCGUCCGAACCAUUAUGCCACGUGACACGAAAGCCCGAUGCACUGACAACUGUAAAAUUUUUGUAGUUGAUUGUUCAGCAAGUGUCCAAAAACACUUGUCAACAAAACCGUUUUUAAUUGAUGAUCAGAAAGAAAAAAACGAUUACUUUCUCUUCAAUUGUGUUGUUGUCACCCAGACGUGCUCUCUCAAUCGGAUUAGACUAGAUGGAAAAAAAAACCAGGUGGCUAUAGAUCGAACUAAAUUGCAGACCUUCAAGCUUCAAUUUGUUUUUUUCCCCUUUUUGCCAAGCAACUAUGAUUAUAUUCAUAGCAAAGGCUCCUUGUCUCAUUUGGUCCAUGGGUAAAAAAAAAAUAUGCUUAUUGUUUUGUCUUGGGAAGAGAAAAACUACCUAACUUCAAUAUGCCCACCACCCAUUCAAAUAGGUGGAAUUUGGUAUAUACUUACGCAUACCCUAUUAUUAUAUUGUGCAUAAAUAUUACAUUAGUGGGUACACAAAUAACCGAAUGGCUCAUUUAUAGAUUUUGCUAUGGCAUUGCAUCAUGACAAAUGAUCGAUGUGGGGAGCACACUCUUAAGAUGGGGAGGUGGACUAAAUGAAUUAUGUGAAAGUUUGGUUUAGACACCACUUGAAAGCUAAAUACAAAAAGAAAAAAAUAUUCACAAAUAGUUCAUGGGUUUCAAGAUCAAAUAAAAUAUGAAAUUUCCAUGCUACAAAUUCAAAUAAGAUAUGCUUAUGUUAAUUAGGAGAACAAUGGAAGUAACUAACUACGAUCCAUCCACCACCUAAAUUUUCAUUAAACAUGGACAAAUGAAUAAAACAAUUCAAUAAGUUUAAUUAAUUAUGCCCUAUAAAAACAAGGUGUCAAAAGAUUUUUGUUUAUAGAGAAAUUACAAGUUCUUGUUGAAAUGCAUUUCUAUUCUAGAGAUGGUGCAUUCUCUUUAGGACAAAGUGCACCCUUUUCACAAUUAGUUGAAAAAGGUAGAGUGCGUGCGUUUUGCUCUUAUUCAGGUGAAGCGCACAUUCCUCAAAGGUCAAGUACAUGCUUUCUAGGUAUUUGAAACAGGGCAUGUAAUUGUUUGUGUUCCCAGGUCUUGGAAAAGUCAACAAAGGGAGCAAUUGCUUCGUGUCUGAAUUUACGUUGAAGUUUCCUACUAGUCUUCGUCGACUCGACGGUUAGAAAAGAUCCAUGGAAAAAUUGCCUUCUUCCUUUCUAGAAGCACUAAUGGUUAAAUAAUUGACACACAAAGAAGAAUUGUAUGCAUGUGUAAUUCGAAUCUUUCAUUAGGCAAGAUACAAAAUACUUUAUUAUCAAUUAGAUAUUUCAACCAAGCUUUAAUCCAAUUCUUGCCUAACUCUUAAAAAUAGUAGGGUUCUAUGAAUUUAGAAUUUAUCAAGGUAAGGGAGCUUUCUCGCUAUCAAGAGAAAAAAAAAAUCCAUGUUAGCAAAUAAUUUUUUUUCUAUGGAAAAUCAUUAAAUAUAAGUGUAAUUAAGGAUAACCUUUUUGUGGCCUUUUCCGUGGAAAAUUGCCAACUGUCAUUGUUUUAUGCCCGAAUUUUCUUGUUAGGAGAAGCUUCACGCUAACCAUUGAAAUCACGUGGCAACUUUUGAAGAACUUCCUGAUUAGGUACGUGAAUUACAUACGCCAAAUCUUUGACUUAAUGGCUCUUUCUCCAUUGUGCUAAACUUACUGGGCCCGAAAAAGAAGAAGAAACCGUGACAAAUUUGCACAUAGUCUAAUGUACAUUCAUUGAUGAGGGCGCAAGCAUCGUAGUUGACACACAAACACACUACAUAUUUCUAAUGUUGAACCAUCCUCAAUGAGAGGGUUUAAGUCGAGCACAUACGUGUCAGAAUUUCGACAUCUCUUAAUCUUGGAGCAGAUAAGUAAGCUCCCGUUUCCAUCUUCUGGAGCUUAUCUUGGGGAGGUUGUAGUGGCUUAUUUUGUGCCACCGUUGUCUAAUCUCAUCGCUGGUGGACAUGAUCAAAACAAGUCUUUACUUCUCCCACUUCAGUCUUGACUUGAGACACUUCAAACUGAACAUUUGACACCGUUGUGGUCAAAUGUUUUAAGUACCUCACUUAGGGCAAAAGCAUUUUUUGUUUGCCAAAUUAGAACAAACUCUGCGAGGGUGAUCCUUCUGGAGUUUCGGGCUGGAUCGACUCUAGUUAGGUUUCAGACCUUUAGGCGAUGCUCAUAUCAAAUCGUGUUUAUAAAUUCUUCCAAGGAAGAAAAAUUUUAUGGUUGAAACGUGCAAAUACUAAGCAAGUCUAAUGGUUAAAAUGCCCCUUAUGCUGUAAAACCACAGAGACUAAGGACGUUAGCAGAAUAAUAACUUACCGAAUCUAAUCAUUUAGCAAAUAUUAAACACCCAUUGAAAAUGAAUCUUAAUGCAAAACCAACCUUUCAUGUAAAUUUUAGAUUACGUGCCUUAAACUAAGAUUAACUUGCAAAAUGUCAUGCCACAAUUUCCAAAAGAAUAAUUAUCAACAAGGUCAUUAACCUAUUAUACAUAUGUCAUUUCAGUCAAUAACCUUUCAAUUUAAUCAAAUUUAAUCAUAAACCUUUUAAGAAAUUAUCAAUAUAGUCAUUUCAGCUAAUUUUACGCAAAAAAUUAUUAAUGGGGAUACUAGCCAUCUUACAUGGCACAGGUAGUGCUAAUAUAAAUAAUUUUUUAUAAUUUUAAAAAAAUGUGAAUUUUUUAUAUUUUUCAUAAUUUUCGCCACACCCCUCUAGCCAACGAGGGCUCACAGGCCUUCUUUUAGUGGCCGUUGCUGGUCACAAUGAAAAAACAGAACAGAAAAUUUAUACAUCGGCAGGUUGGUUAGUGUUUAUUUCCACCGGGCAAUGACGCCAUCUCGUUUUCUCGGCGACUGCAGGUCAGCUCGCCGCUCGCCGCCGGCGACCUCGAAGAGCAGCAGUUGGCGAUUUUCGUCGACGGAUCUGGUCAUCGUUCAAAGUCGGCCUCGAUGGAGCUUGAUAUCUCGGGAUUCGAUACGCCUUCUCCAAGAAAGUGACGGUCGAUCCGGCCUUCACCUCCGUCGCAGUGCGCCACCAUCGUCACCGGCUGCGCAACGGAGGUCAGGCUCUCUCUGGCUUUAUCUAUCUGGCGAGUUGUCCACCGGCAUUGACAGAGCUCUCGCGAAUGAUUCGGUCGAGCUAGAGUUUACUCUCUCUCUCUCUCUCUCUCUCUCUCUCUCCCUCUCCCUCCAGAGCGGCUCCCGAAAAGCUCCGUCACCACCUCUCCAUAUCUGUCCUUCACCAUCAACGACUCCAGCUCGCCAGUAGGAUCUUCGCAAGAUACCUCGGAGGCGAAGAAGGAUUCAGAAGCGGUUUCAUGUUCAUCUUUGCUUUUCACUGGAAUCAACAGACCCUCGGACUCGGCCAGUCGGGGACCGACGAAGCUCAAUUUGGCACAUCGAAACUCGGAUAUUCACCAUCGUGCACGAUCGAGACUCUUAAUCUCUGAUCAUCUCAGGAUUCUGAUCCAUCGUUUCCUACUUCAUCGCCGAUAAUCAGUUUGCCGAAUAUUCCCCUGAGAAGCACGCGAUGCAGAGGAAGGACUAAGAAGCUGAUGACACGAGAGAAAGCGGAGCCGUGAAAUAGAGCAGUCGCUCGCCAUCGUCCAACGCAGCUUGACCGUCAGGCUUUAAUGCUCGUGGGCGGACGCAGCGAUUGCGAGUUCAGGCGAUGACGAAAUCCAUCUGCUAACAGCCGCACUUACCCAGGUCAUUUUCGGCUACUGCAUUGCAAAAUUCAACCAUCAAAUUUCGACACUAGAGAAAAUGCAAGGAGAGAAUCGGAUGAAUUCCAGGCGAUCGAUCCUGCAGGUUUAGCUAAUGAGAGAGAGGCCCGAUGCCAGUUAGAACAGCUCCUAAGCUUGCCAUCCGGAAAUGCCGAACUCGGGAAGGUUUUUACUCUGAAAUCAAGAAAGGAGGGUCCUAAAUAUGUGCACAUUGUUCUUGCUUCUUCGUAUCAGAUCGGCUCUCACUUCUAAACUCAAGUAGGAACUAAUGCUUUCUUAAGAUACUGCACAAAUUAGAAGUUUAUGGGCUGCAUUUUACAUUAAAUCAAAGUACAUGAGGAUUUAUGUUAUUAUCUCUAUUAAAAACGUGAUUGAUCGAUACAAAAAAUUCAUUUUAUUCUGGCCACAUCGUGCAAACGGACCGGCUUGGCUAAAAGAUGUAGACUACAAAAAUUGAGAGUUUGGCCCAAGGGCUUCCUUAUAAGAUGGUGCAGGAGAUGAAUGACACCAAGAAAGGCCCUCAAAGAAUGGAAUGACACUUUCAUUCUAGUCGGAUGGUCUUUUGCAUUUGCAUUCUUACAACUACAACACCCUAAGAAAAACUAUAUGGAGGUCAGUACAAAUUACAAGUUUUGCCUGUUGCAACAGUUUAAGAUAAGUUACUAUGUUAAUGUGAUCACGGUAUGAAGUCUAGAGCUAAACUUACACUAAUAACUACAGGUAGAUUACUCCAGGAUCAGUCAAAUUACAAUGCUGGAUUCAUAUUACCAGGUACAAGAACUAUAAGGUAUGACCUUUAAGGAAAAUUAUAAUAUAAGGAGUAACAUCUCUUAAGACGGAGUCAUUUACAUUUAGUGGAAGUAAUUUAAUUUACCUUUUGAGUAAUUUAGCUUGAAAGUAAAGUUGGCUAUGCAGUAUAAAGUUCAUAAAUUAUAUUUUGUGCUCAUAAAUUAGCUUCUUAUACCUUAACGCUCAGUAACUUGCUAUAGCAGAUCAUUUCAUAUAUUCAUUGCAUACAACAAGGGAUACAGUCCCGAACUUUCCUAUCAUUGCAUAUUCAUUAUCAACAAAGUGCAACUUCGGACAAUACGGGCCUCUGAGACUUCUUAAAUUGGUUUCGAUCCUCAAGAGCAUCAAUCCUCCUUGACAAUGAACUGAAUAAAGACCGAAAUAUGUAAGUUUUGAACCUUGAUAUCGAGCUCUUCAUUGCAUUAACGCUUCUGUGAUCCCCCUCAACAUGUAGAUGCAACAUGGGAGAAGCAGGUUCUAACCAAACAACUCCCUUUACGUUUUCACUUCUUGCCUCGCGCUGCUCCUCCGUAACAUGCAGGAGAAACAGAAUGGACUGAUGGGAUCUACUCCCGUCACUACAGGCAUGAACUCAGAUCCCGCUUAGUGCACGAACGUCCCAUCAACUCAUAACUGGAGGCCAUGCUAGGGACGACCUUUCCAGUUUCUCUCCAUUAUUCUUCUCACCAGGGAAACUUGCUUCCCAACUGCGGAGACGAACGCUUUGCCUUUCCCUCCAGCACCUCUCUCUGUGGCGGACAUAUUUGCUCGGAUCAUGUGGGAAGUCGAAGAGAAUAACAUGGUCCACUCCAGUAAAGUCGAUUCCUUGUAACGACCUGUCAUAUGGUUGAAAAAUCAUCAGGAUCUUGCAAAUACCUAAGGAAAGAUGAGAGUGACAUGUCUUAGGUAAAUUCAUGUGUUUCCAGUGACCCUGCUCUGCAUUCCGUUUGACUGUGUCGCAAACAGUGCCGUUAAAAUCACCAGGUGCUGUUAAGAGACUCAGGACCCACAGUGCCUCAGGCACUAGGCUGAACAAUGAGAGGUGCCAAGUACAAAGUGGGGAUUAAUCCAUCAACAAACAAAUUAUUAGGUCUUUCAUACUUAGAAUCACAAGUUAUUCGAGGUCUGCAUCGUAGCACAAAUUGCACUGGUGCAAAGAUCUUAACCUAGACAAAUCUUUUCUGAGGCAAUGCCUCAGAGGAGGAGCACCUCAUCUCAGGUGCUUACCUUAAAUGAAGAAACCU
rnacentral:lncRNA from 1 species